UGUAAGCGUAUACCAAAGUUGUUGCAGUUAAAACGCUCGUAGUCGGAAUUUGGCAGUUCCGGAAGUGUGCACGUCGUGUGCGCACUUUGCGAGGACUGCUUUUGUGGUCUUGCGUAGGAUGAGGCACUUUCAUUAGUGAACGUCCUCACGCAACCACUCUUUACUGUGAGAAAAUCAGAGUGCUCAAAGCAGGCAUUUGCCGUGAAUGUAUUAGCAUGGAAUAAUAGAAUAGGACUCGGUUCUAUUUUGUUGGUUUGUUGGGACUGAGUAAUGAUUAAGAGGGACAGUUGGGGGCAUUUGUAUUCCGGCGCUAGAGGUGAAAUUCUUAGAUUGCCGGAAGACAAACUGCUGCGAAAGCGUCUGCCAAGGAUGUUUUCAUUGA
rnacentral:rRNA from 1 species